UAUGCCUACGGGGGGCAGCAGUGGGGAAUAUUGCGCAAUGGGGGAAACCCUGACGCAGCAACGCCGCGUGAGUGAAGAAGGCCUUCGGGUUGUAAAGCUCUUUAAUCAGGGACGAAGAAUGACGGUACCUGAAGAAUAAGCUCCGGCUAACUACGUGCCAGCAGCCGCGGUAAUACGUAGGGGGCAAGCGUUAUCCGGAUUUACUGGGUGUAAAGGGAGCGUAGGCGGCGAUGCAAGUCAGAAGUGAAAGCCCGGGGCUCAACUCCGGGACUGCUUUUGAAACUGUGUUGCUAGAUUGCAGGAGA
rnacentral:rRNA from 1 species